rnacentral:rRNA from 1 species
AGAGUUUGAUCAUGGCUCAGAACGAACGCUGGCGGCAGGCCUAACACAUGCAAGUCGAGCGCGCCCUUCGGGGUGAGCGGCGGACGGGUUAGUAACGCGUGGGAAUAUGCCCAAAGGUACGGAAUAGCCUCUGGAAACGGAGAGUAAUACCGUAUGUGCCCUUCGGGGGAAAGAUUUAUCGCCUUUGGAUUAGCCCGCGUUAGAUUAGGUAGUUGGUGGGGUAAUGGCCUACCAAGCCUACGAUCUAUAGCUGGUUUUAGAGGAUGAUCAGCAACACUGGGACUGAGACACGGCCCAGACUCCUACGGGAGGCAGCAGUGGGGAAUCUUGGACAAUGGGGGCAACCCUGAUCCAGCCAUGCCGCGUGAGUGAUGAAGGCCUUAGGGUCGUAAAGCUCUUUCGCCUGUGAAGAUAAUGACGGUAGCAGGUAAAGAAACCCCGGCUAACUCCGUGCCAGCAGCCGCGGUAAUACGGAGGGGGUUAGCGUUGUUCGGAAUUACUGGGCGUAAAGCGCACGUAGGCGGAUCGGAAAGUUGGGGGUGAAAUCCCGGGGCUCAACCCCGGAACUGCCUCCAAAACUAUCGGGUCUAGA